rnacentral:rRNA from 1 species
AGAGUUUGAUCCUGGCUCAGGGNUUAACGCUGGCGGCGCGCAUAACACAUGCAAGUCGAGCGAGGGCUUACUUCUCGCAAGAGAGGUGAGUUCCUAGCGGCGAACGGGUGAGUAACACGUGGGCAACCUUUCCUAUCGCGGGGGAUAACACCGGGAAACCGAUGCUAAUACCGCAUGUCGUCACUGAUCGCAUGGUUGGUGAAGAAAGCAGCAAUGCACGAUGGGGUGGGCCCGCGGCCUAUCAGCUAGUCGGUGGGGUAACGGCCUACCGAGGCGAUGACGGGUAGCUGGUCUGAGAGGACGGCCAGCCACACGGGGACUGAGACACGGCCCCGACUCCUACGGGAGGCAGCAGUGAGGAAUCUUCCGCAAUGGGCGAAAGCCUGACGGAGCGACGCCGCGUGUGGGAUGAAGUCUUUCGGGAUGUAAACCACUGUCGGAGGGGAAGACAAAAAAGACGGUACCCUCCAAGAAAGCCCCGGCUAACUACGUGCCAGCAGCCGCGGUAAUACGUAGGGGGCAAGCGUUAUCCAGAUUUACUGGGCGUAAAGCGCGUGUAGGCGGCUGGUUAGGCGUGAUGUGAAAUCUUCCGGCUCAACCGGAAAACUGCAUUGCGAACCGGCCUGGCUAGAGUGCAGGAGAGGGAAGCGGAAUUCCAGGUGUAGCGGUGAAAUGCGUAGAUNUCUGGNAGGAACACCAGUGGCGAAGGCG